rnacentral:rRNA from 1 species
UACGAGGGGGACUAGCGUUGUUCGGAAUCACUGGGCGUAAAGCGCACGUAGGCGGAUAUGUCAGUCAGGGGUGAAAUCCCGGGGCUCAACCUCGGAACUGCCUUUGAUACAGCAUAUCUUGAGUCCGAUAGAGGUGGGUGGAAUUCCUAGUGUAGAGGUGAAAUUCGUAGAUAUUAGGAGGAACACCGACGGCGUAGGCAGCGCCCUAGACGAGACCUGACGCUCAGGCACGAAAGCGCGGGGAGCGAACAGG